rnacentral:rRNA from 1 species
GAUGAACGCUGACAGAAUGCUUAACACAUGCAAGUCUUUGGUGAAGCUGUGCUUGCACAGCCUAGCCAAGGCGGACGGGUGAGUAACGCGUAAGGAACUUGCCCUGCAGUCAGGGAUAACAGACGGAAACGACUGAUAAGACCUGGUAAAGUCAGGCGGACUCAUGUCCAGCCUGAUGAAAAGAGAUGCUGCAGGAGAGCCUUGCGUCCUAUUAGCUUGUUGGUGGGGUAACGGCCCACCAAGGCAAUGAUAGGUAGCCGGCCUGAGGGGGUGGACGGCCACAAGGGGACUGAGAUACGGCCCUUACUCCUACGGGAGGCAGCAGUGGGGAAUAUUGGACAAUGGGGGCAACUCUGAUCCAGCAAUUCUGUGUGCACGAUGAAGGUUUUCGGAUUGUAAAGUGCUUUCAGCAGGGAAGAAAAAAAUGACGGUACCUGCAGAAGAAGCGACGGCUAAAUACGUG